rnacentral:rRNA from 2 species
AACGCGAAGAACCUUACCGGGGCUUGACAUCCCGCGCUAUCCUAGGAGACUAGGUUUCCGGGCAACCGGACGCGGAGACAGGUGCUGCAUGGCUGUCGUCAGCUCGUGCCGUGAGGUGUUGGGUUAAGUCCCGCAACGAGCGCAACCCUUGCCGUGUGUUGGUCGCAAGAUCUCUCACGCGGGACCGCCGGUGACAAGCCGGAGGAAGGUGGGGAUGACGUCAAGUCAGCAUGGCCCUUACGUCCCGGGCUACACACGUGCUACAAUGGAAUGGACAACGAGUCGCGAACCCGCGAGGGUAAGCUAAUCUCACAAACCAUUUCUCAGUUCGGAUUGAAGGCUGCAACUCGCCUUCAUGAAGUCGGAAUCGCUAGUAACCGUAGAUCAGCUACGCUGCGGUGAAUACGUUCCCGGGCCUUGUA